rnacentral:antisense_RNA from 1 species
AGUAACCCAUACAGAAAAGGCUAUGACAAAAUCUUACUCGGUAAUAAUGAAACGCGAUUGUAAAAUAUACAAAGAAGAGAGAUGUAAAAACAGGAACAUAAAGAAGUGGUGCGUCCGAGAUGACUCGAACAUCCGACCCCUACCA